rnacentral:rRNA from 1 species
GACGAACGCUGGCGGCGUGCCUAAUACAUGCAAGUCGAGCGAAGCGGCGGAUGGGUGAGUAACGCGUGGGUAACCUGCCCUUAAGUCUGGGAUACCAUUUGGAAACAGAUGCUAAUACCGGAUACUAAAGGAUGGACCUGCGAUGCAUUAGCUAGUUGGUAAGGUAACGGCUUACCAGGGCGAUGAUGCAUAGCCGGGUUGAGAGCAGGAUCGGGUACAUUGGGACGGUGACAUGGCCCAAACUCCGACGGGAGGCAGCAGUAGGGAAUCGUCCACAAUGGACGAAAGUCUGAUGGAGCACCGCCGAGUGAGUGAAGAAGGUUUUCGGAUCGUAAAGCUCUGUUGUUGGUGAAGCGGUAAUCAACCAGAAAGUCACGGCUAACUACGUGCCAGCAGCCGCGGUAAUUC